ACUGGUCAACUUUAUGCGGGCGAUGAUAAGAAAAAGCUACCUAAUGACGUGUUUUAAUACAAUACCACGAAAAUAUCAGACUUUUUUUUGCUUUUGAAAAGUAAUUACCUUACAAUUUGUUGUAUAGUUUAUAAGUAUCCGCAAUUUUGACCGCAUUUAACGAAUGUCCGUGAAACUGGAGAGAACAAUCGAACCUCGCUUUAAUAUUUGCACACACACACACACGUUACUUUAGUUUUCUUUGGAAACUAACAUAAGGAAAUUUAACAAUGGCAGUUGGAAGUUCAAGAAAUUUGCGGAUAUUGAGCUGGAUCGUUUCAAUUAUAUUUUUUAUGAUUAUCUUCUUGUAUGCCUUGAAUUGGAUGAAUGAAGAUGCAGACGAAACCCAAUUUGCAUAUUCAUUACAAUCGAUAAAGAUAUCCAAUCCAUUCACUGAAACAAACCAUCUGUAUGAGACCGGUCACCAGAAUGUUGAUUUGGAUAUAGCACACGUUUGCCCACUUAAUGGGCGUACUACAAUUCUGCUCAUACUAAUCAGUUCGGCUAUUUCGCAUGAACGUCAACGCAUGGCCAUAAGACAGACCUGGGGACAUUAUGCGGCUCGUCGUGAUAUUGGCAUCGCCUUUGUGCUCGGCCGAAGUUUAAGCGAAACUGAAAAUAAGGCACUCAGUUCGGAGAAUUAUUUGUAUGGUGAUUUGAUCAGAGGCAACUUUAUUGAUUCCUACGAAAAUCUAACACUAAAGACGAUCUCAUCUCUGGAGUGGGCAGACAAGCACUGCAAUCGUGCCAAAUACAUACUGAAGACGGAUGAUGAUAUGUUCAUAAAUGUGCCUAAGCUUUUCAAUUUUGUUGAAGAGCAGCUAAAACAUAAUGUCAAGAGAACAAUCUUUGGUCGUUUAGCUAAGAAAUCACCGCCGGUUCGAAACAAGGAAUCCAAAUAUUAUGUGUCGCCUGGUCAGUAUCGUGGAGUAUUUCCUGACUAUACUACGGGACCAGCUUACCUUAUGACAGGCGACAUUGUGAAUGAUUUAUAUGUGAAUGCAUUGAAGAUUAUCUAUCUGAAGUUAGAAGACGUUGUUAUUACAGGCAUUGUGGCGCAGAGUCUAGAUAUUAAACGUGUGCAUGUCAAUGAAUUUAGAAACACUCGAUUAUACCUCACAACAAGGAAUAUUAAAAACUCUAUUAGCAUACAUAGGAUUAGUUGUAGUGAACAGUUGAAAGUGUGGCAGAAACAGCACGAAUAGUAAUUGUUGGUAAAUUAUAUUUUAUAUUAUAUAUUAAAUUUAACGGCUGUUUUGAGAGAAUUAAAAGCUGUUCUUGCUGAAGAAUGCCCAGAACCAAAUAAAGUAUAACCAGUCCUCCAAUUGUGGAAGUGGUAUAUUCGGUAUAUUUUUUUUUUCUUUGACAAAGAGAUCGACCUGGAGCGCAUUUGUCCGCUAAAUGGCAAGAUCAGAAUGCUGAUACUAAUUGGCAGGCGAGAUUGGCAUGACAUUUGUGUUUUAUUGUCUUAUACAAUAACAUUAAGCUAUAAGACUUAUUUUGUAGCAUUUUGUAAGUACAAUAUUUUAAUUCAAAGAAUUGUUGGUAUUCCCAGUGAUUCUCAUUAUUCCCUUUUUUAUGGCUAGUAAUCGCCGCGGUGGUGAUACAACAAUAAUCAUUAAUGGUCACUCAAUUUCACAUUAAUUGGCAACGCUGUCUCAGUCAAGAAAUUAGCUCAGGCGCAAAAUAUUCGAGUUGCCUUUUGAAAAUUUUCUCUAGAAACCAAGACAAGGAAAUGUAACAAUGACCGCUGGAUGGUUAAGAAAUUUGCGGAUAUUACGUUUGCUCGUUUCAUUUGUAUUUUUUAUGAUUAUCUUCAUCUGCGCUUCAUACUCAAACACAUCGAUGUGGGGACCUCAUCUCGUAAUCCCCAUGAAAUUAAGUUGGAAUAUGACGCGGACUGUGCUGCCGAUUAUGGAAUUGAACAACACUGGAGAGUUUGGACUCUCGCAGCAGCUGUUACGGAGCCAAUCUCUAAAUAUUACUGAGCAGCAGUUGAAUAAAAAUACAGAACCCCAAAUUUCGUCUUCAUCACAAUCGUUAGAAACAUCCAAUCCAUUUACUGAAGCAAACCAGCUAUAUGAGACCGGUCACCAGAAUGUUGAUUUGGAUAUAGCACACGUUUGCCCACUUAAUGGGCUUACUACAAUUCUUCUCAUCCUAAUCAGUUCGGCUAUGUCGCAUGAACGUCAGCGCAUGGCCAUAAGACAGACCUGGGGACAUUAUGCGGCUCGUCGUGAUAUUGGCAUUGCCUUUGUGCUCGGCCGCAGUUUAAACGAAACUGAAAAUAAGGCACUCAGUUCGGAGAAUUAUUUAUAUGGCGAUUUGGUCAGAGGCAACUUUAUUGACUCGUACGAUAAUCUAACACUCAAGACGAUCUCAUCUCUGGAAUGGGCAGACAAGCACUGCAAUCGUGCCAAAUACAUACUGAAGACGGAUGAUGAUAUGUUCAUCAAUGUGCCUAAGCUUUUCAAUUUUGUUGAAGAGCAGUUAAAACAUAAUGUCAAGAGAACGAUAUUUGGUCGCUUAGCUAAGAAAUGGCCGCCUGUUCGAAACAAGAAAUCCAAAUAUUAUGUGUCGCAUGGUCAGUUUCGUGGAUUAUAUCCAGAGUUUACAACGGGACCAGCUUACCUUAUAACAGGCGACAUUGUGAAUGAUUUAUAUGUGAGGGCAUUGAAGAUGGUCUAUCUGAAGUUAGAAGACGUUUUUAUUACAGGUAUUGUGGCGAAGAGUCUAAAUAUUAAACGAGUGCAUGUUAAUGAAUUCAAAAACCGUCGAAUGAAACUCACAACAAGGAAUAUUCAAAACUCUUUUAGCAUACAUAGGAUUAGUUGUAGUGAGCAGUUUGAAGUAUGGCAGAAACAGCACGAAAAGUAAUUGUUGAUAAAAUGUAUUGUAUUAUAUUAUAUAUUAAAUUUAACGGCUGUCUUGCGUCCUGCUGAAGAUUGCGCUAUACCAAAUAAAGUGUGACCAGUCUUCCAAUUGUGGAAGUGAUACA